ACGGUAACACUGAUUUUUUUAAAUGAUAAAAAAGUGCAAUAAUAUACAUUAAGUCUAAAACGUUGGAUUGCAUACCAACGAUAAAUUCCACAGGGAGGGGGUUUUAGUCCGUAGGUCGCCUGGGAGUAACCCAGCGGAGUCGGGCAUACCAUAAACGCCCGGGCCUUAUGGUAUCAUUGAUGAUUUCCCCCUACCAACG
rfam:Phthorimaea operculella granulovirus, complete genome.